CCUACGGGUGGCAGCAGUGAGGAAUAUUGGGCAAUGGACGCAAGCCUGAACCAGCCAUGCCGCGUGCAGGAAGACGGCCCUAUGAGUGGUAAACUGCUUUUGUACGAGGGUAAACGCAGAUACGCGUAUCUGUCUGAAAGUAUCGUACGAAUAAAGAUCGGCUAACUCCGUGCCAGCAGCCGCGGUAAUACGGAGGGUUCAAGCGUUAUCCGGAUUUAUUGGGUUUAAAGGGUGCGUAGGCGGUCGGUUAAGUUAGAGGUGAAAUCCCGGGGCUCAACUUCGGAAUUGCCUCUGAUACUGUUCGGCUGGAGGGUAGUUGCGGUAGGCGGAAUUUAUGGUGUAGCGGUGAAAUGCUUAGAGAUCUUGCAGAACACCGAUUGCGAAGGCAGCUUACCAAGCUACUUCUGACGUUGAGGCACGAAAGCGUGGGGAGCAAACAGGAUUAGAUACCCGGGUAGUC
rnacentral:rRNA from 1 species